rnacentral:rRNA from 1 species
AUAGCUCCUGGAAACGGGUGGUAAUGCCGGAUGCUCCAGUUGAUCGCAUGGUCUUCUGGGAAAGCUUUCGCGGUAUGGGAUGGGGUCGCGUCCUAUCAGCUUGACGGCGGGGUAACGGCCCACCGUGGCUUCGACGGGUAGCCGGCCUGAGAGGGCGACCGGCCACAUUGGGACUGAGAUACGGCCCAGACUCCUACGGGAGGCAGCAGUGGGGAAUAUUGCACAAUGGGCGCAAGCCUGAUGCAGCGACGCCGCGUGAGGGAUGGAGGCCUUCGGGUUGUAAACCUCUUUUAUCGGGGAGCAAGCGAGAGUGAGUUUACCCGUUGAAUAAGCACCGGCUAACUACGUGCCAGCAGCCGCGGUAAUACGUAGGGUGCAAGCGUUAUCCGGAAUUAUUGGGCGUAAAGGGCUCGUAGGCGGUUCGUCGCGUCCGGUGUGAAAGUCCAUCGCUUAACGGUGGAUCCGCGCCGGGUACGGGCGGGCUUGAGUGCGGUAGGGGAGACUGGAAUUCCCGGUGUAACGGUGGAAUGUGUAGAUAUCGGGAAGAACACCAAUGGCGAAGGCAGGUCUCUGGGCCGUCACUGACGCUGAGGAGCGAAAGCGUGGGGAGCGAACAGGAUUAGAUACCCUGGUAGUCCACGCCGUAAACGGUGGAUGCUGGAUGUGGGGACCAUUCCACGGUCUCCGUGUCGGAGCCAACGCGUUAAGCAUCCCGCCUGGGGAGUACGGCCGCAAGGCUAAAACUCAAAGAAAUUGACGGGGGCCCGCACAAGCGGCGGAGCAUGCGGAUUAAUUCGAUGCAACGCGAAGAACCUUACCUGGGCUUGACAUGUUCCCGACAGCCGUAGAGAUACGGUCUCCCUUCGGGGCGGGUUCACAGGUGGUGCAUGGUCGUCGUCAGCUCGUGUCGUGAGAUGUUGGGUUAAGUCCCGCAACGAGCGCAACCCUCGCCCUGUGUUGCCAGCACGUCGUGGUGGGAACUCACGGGGGACCGCCGGGGUCAACUCGGAGGAAGGUGGGGAUGACGUCAGAUCAUCAUGCCCCUUACGUCCAGGGCUUCACGCAUGCUACAAUGGCCGGUACAACGGGAUGCGACCUCGUGAGGGGGAGCGGAUCCCUUAAAACCGGUCUCAGUUCGGAUUGGAGUCUGCAACCCGACUCCAUGAAGGCGGAGUCGCUAGUAAUCGCGGAUCAGCAACGCCGCGGUGAAUGCGUUCCCGGGCCUUGUACACACCGCCCGUC